GAUGAACGCUGGCGGCGUGCCUAACACAUGCAAGUCGAACGGGAUCCCUUGGAUUCGUCUGAGGGUGAGAGUGGCGAACGGGUGAGUAACACGUAGGUGACCUACCCCGGAGUGGGGAAUAACCACUGGAAACGGUGGCUAAUACCCCAUAUGCUCGGUGGUUCGUUCUGUCGAGUAAAGCUCCGGCGCUCCGGGAGGGGCCUGCGGCCCAUCAGGUAGUUGGUAGGGUAAUGGCCUACCAAGCCAAUGACGGGUAGGGGGCGUGAGAGCGUGAUCCCCCACACUGGCACUGACACACGGGCCAGACUCCUACGGGAGGCAGCAGUGAGGAAUAUUGCCCAAUGGACGCAAGUCUGAGGCAGCAACGCCGCGUGGGCGAUGAAGGCCUUCGGGUUGUAAAGCCCUUUUCUGGGGGACGAGGAAGGACGGUACUCCCAGGAAUAAGUCACGGCUAACUACGUGCCAGCAGCCGCGGUAAUACGUAGGUGGCGAGCGUUAUCCGGAUUUACU
rnacentral:rRNA from 1 species